UGGGGAAUUUUGGACAAUGGGCGCAAGCCUGAUCCAGCAAUGCCGCGUGCAGGAUGAAGGCCUUCGGGUUGUAAACUGCUUUUGUACGGAACGAAAAGCCUCUCUCUAAUACAGGGGGGUGAUGACGGUACCGUAAGAAUAAGCACCGGCUAACUACGUGCCAGCAGCCGCGGUAAUACGUAGGGUGCAAGCGUUAAUCGGAAUUACUGGGCGUAAAGCGUGCGCAGGCGGUUUUGUAAGACAGUGGUGAAAUCCCCGGGCUCAACCUGGGAACUGCCAUUGUGACUGCAAGGCUGGAGUGCGGCAGAGGGGGGAUGGAAUUCCGCGUGUAGCAGUGAAAUGCGUAGAUAUGCGGAGGAACACCGAUGGCGAAGGCAAUCCCCUGGGCCUGCACUGACGCUCAUGCACGAAAGCGUGGGGAGCAAACAGGAUUAGAUACCCUGGUAGUCCACGCCCUAAACGAUGUCAACUGGUUGUUGGGGAUUUAUUUCUUCAGUAACGAAGCUAACGCGUGAAGUU
rnacentral:rRNA from 1 species